rnacentral:tRNA from 1 species
UGGGACGUCGCCAAGCGGUAAGGCACGGGGUUUUGAUCUCCGCAUGCGCAGGUUCGAAUCCUGCCGUCCCAGCCA